rnacentral:rRNA from 1 species
AAAGCUUGGCGAUACAGGGUGAUAGCCCCGUAACCGACGCUUCAUCGAGCGUGAAAUCGAGUAGGGCGGGACACGUGAUAUCCUGUCUGAAUAUGGGGGGACCAUCCUCCAAGGCUAAAUACUCCUGACUGACCGAUAGUGAACCAGUACCGUGAGGGAAAGGCGAAAAGAACCCCUGUGAGGGGAGUGAAAUAGAACCUGAAACCGUGUACGUACAAGCAGUAGGAGCACCUUCGUGGUGUGACUGCGUACCUUUUGUAUAAUGGGUCAGCGACUUAUAUUCAGUGGCAAGGUUAACCGUAUAGGGGAGCCGUAGCGAAAGCGAGUCUUAACUGGGCGCUCAGUCUCUGGAUAUAGACCCGAAACCGGGUGAUCUAGCCAUGGGCAGGUUGAAGGUUGAGUAACAUCAACUGGAGGACCGAACCGACUAAUGUUGAAAAAUUAGCGGAUGACUUGUGGCUAGGGGUGAAAGGCCAAUCAAACUCGGAGAUAGCUGGUUCUCCCCGAAAGCUAUUUAGGUAGCGCCUCGGACGAAUACUACUGGGGGUAGAGCACUGUUAAGGCUAGGGGGUCAUCCCGACUUACCAACCCUUUGCAAACUCCGAAUACCAGUAAGUACUAUCCGGGAGACACACGGCGGGUGCUAACGUCCGUCGUGGAGAGGGAAACAACCCAGACCGCCAGCUAAGGUCCCAAAGUAUUGCUAAGUGGGAAACGAUGUGGGAAGGCUCAGACAGCUAGGAUGUUGGCUUAGAAGCAGCCAUCAUUUAAAGAAAGCGUAAUAGCUCACUAGUCGAGUCGGCCUGCGCGGAAGAUGUAACGGGGCUAAGCAAUACACCGAAGCUGCGGCAAUAUCUUUUAGAUAUUGGGUAGGGGAGCGUUCUGUAAGCCGUUGAAGGUGAAUCGUAAGGUUUGCUGGAGGUAUCAGAAGUGCGAA